rnacentral:misc_RNA from 1 species
AAAAAGCUUCCUUGUCCCUGAAGAAACUACUUGAGCGGCGAUCGAUCCAGAGGCAAGAAUAAUGGUAUAACCCUAGAGUUAGAACUUCAAGCAACUAGGAAUCUGGAAUUCUGCAAGAAAGCUGCCUUUCGUUCAAGAAAUUAAGCUCUGUCCUCCUUCGAAUAUAUCCGUUCAACUCAUGUUAUUUUCUGUUUUUUUACUGCAAUAUAUUAAUUUGAUCUAUGGAAAACAGCCAAGACAGGAAACGGCCAAUGGAAGACGAAGAGAGAAAGCAAGCCGCUGCCAGGAGGGUUCCUUUUGCUGAUCUUGAUCAAGUUCAUUCCGAUUUUGCUAUUGCAGCAGCUUUGCAGGAGCAGGAGAGGGCUUUCAAUACGCUAACAAGCAUCGAAAGCGAUAGCGAAGGCGAAGGAAUUGAUGAAGAUUCAAACGAAGAAAACAAUGGAAAUGAUUAUGAAUUCUUUGAAACCCAAGAUUUGGAAUUUCUUGAAGGACAUGAUAGCAACAGCGACGAAGAUAUGGAAGUAGACGAAGAAGAAGAAGACGAUAUUGAUCUCGACGAGCUAUCCUACGAAGAGCUGAUAGCUCUGGGAGAGUUCAUAGGAGAAGAGAAGAGAGGACUAUCGAAGGAAGAAAUCUGGAAAAGCUUGCGGCCAUGCAAGUACCAAGAAUGUGUAGAGAAGAGAAGUGGGAUUGAUAGAUGCGUGAUUUGUCAAGUGGAAUACGAAGGAGGUGAAUCUUUAGUAGCUCUUCCUUGUGAUCAUCCUUACCAUUCUGAAUGCAUUACCAAUUGGCUUCAAAUCAAGAAGAUUUGCCCCAUUUGCACCUCUGAAGUUUCUUCAACCAACAAUAUUUGCUAGAGUUGUCGAUUAAUUAUUUUAUUAUAAUAAUUAAUUUGAAAUAUGUUGUUAAUAUGUCAACAUUUCUUAAUUCAAUUGAAAUAUUACUGUACUAAUAUUUACUUAAUUAGAAUUUAUUUUUAC